GGUUUCCGUAGCAAAAGUCUACGAUUGAACAGCAAUGUUCCUUCCGCAGAGUACACUUGCAGAAGCCUUAGUGGCCCGAAAGGGUUUCACCAGCGACUCUAAACAACUAGGUGGAUUAAAUGCUAGUCUCAUUAUGAGGCAACACUAUCAAAUUGCGGGAAGAUCCUGUCAUGUCCACAUCACCGCGGCUCACCGAAAGGUGCAGUGUCAGCACCAGGCUAACAACCUUGGGUAUGGUAACAGUAUGUGAAAUAGGGAGAAUCCGCAGCCAAGCCCCUUUGUGGGGUGCAGUUCACAGGCCAAAUGGUAGUGGGCACUGGUUCGGUGCUUAAGAUAUGGUCGAGUCCCAAUUGUGAGAUUGGGUACAAGUACUCUGUACGAAAUGCAAAUGUUCCGUAGGUGAACCUGCGGAAGGAUCAUUAAUGAAUUACAAGUCGGUCAUCUGUGCUGGUGGAAACACAUGUGCACGUUGAUCGCAAAUCCACACACCUGUGAACCUUUGACUCUGAGAUUCGCCUGUGCAAACUUGCAGCUGGUUGACUUUGGUCGGCCUGGAUCUUGGAGUAUUUUUACACACUCUGAAUGUAAUGGAAUGUCUAUGUGCAUAACGCGCAAAAAAACAACUUUCAACAACGGAUCUCUUGGCUCUCGCACCGAUGAAGAACGCAGCGAAAUGCGAUAAGUAAUGUGAAUUGCAGAAUUCAGUGAAUCAUCGAAUCUUUGAACGCACCUUGCACCCUUUGGUAUUCCGAAGGGUACACCCGUUUGAGUGUCAUUGUAAUCUCACUCCUUCAACUUUGUUGUUGUUGGAUGUGGACUUGGACUCUGUCGUGUCACAACGACUGGUCUUAAAUGAAUGAGUGCACCCUGCUGUUGCAGCGUCUUCAGUGUGAUAAGCAUCUUCACUGGAACAAAGUUCCCUUUUGGGACACGCAGGCAUUGUAGGCUCUGUGCUGGCAAACCGUCUUUUUUGGACAAAUCUUUGACAAUUUGACCUCAAAUCGGGUGGGACUACCCGCUGAACUUAAGCAUAUCAAUAAGCGGAGGAAAAGAAACUAACAAGGAUUCCCCUAGUAACGGCGAGUGAAGAGGGAAAAGCUCAAAUUUUGAAUCUGGUGUCUUUGGCGCCCGAGUUGUAAUCUAGAGAAGUGUUUUCUGCCUCGGACCACACAUAAAUUCCCUGGAAUGGGGUGUCAUAGAGGGUGAGAAUCCCGUUUGUGGUGUGGACUACCUUGGCUCUGUGAUACACUCUCAACGAGUCGAGUUGUUUGGGAAUGCAGCUCAAAAUGGGUGGUAAAUUCCAUCUAAAGCUAAAUAUUGGCGAGAGACCGAUAGCGAACAAGUACCGUGAGGGAAAGAUGAAAAGCACUUUGGAAAGAGAGUGAAACAGUACGUGAAAUUGUUGAAAGGGAAGCGUUUGAAGUCAGUCGCAUUGGUCGGAACUCAGCCUGGCUUCUGCCUGGUGUAUUUUCUGGCAAAUGGGUCAGUGUCAAUUUUGAUCGAGAGAGAAAGACUUGAGGAAUGUGGCUGUCUUCGGGCAGUGUUAUAGCCUCUUGUUGUAUGUCUCGGUUGGGAUUGAGGAACGCAGCACGCCUUUUGGCCGGGGUUCGCGCCCUCGGUACGUGCUUAGGACACUGGCAUAAUGGCUUUAAGCGAC
rnacentral:rRNA from 1 species